rnacentral:rRNA from 1 species
AGGCUUACACAUGCAGUCGAGGGGUAUGGUUCUUCGGAACCAGAGACCGGCGCACGGGUGCGUAACGCGUAUGCAAUCUACCUUUCACAGAGGGAUAGCCCAGAGAAAUUUGGAUUAAUACCUCAUAGUAUAUUGGUCUCGCAUGAGAUUAUUAUUAAAGAUUUAUCGGUGAAAGAUGAGCAUGCGUCCCAUUAGUUAGUUGGUAAGGUAACGGCUUACCAAGACUACGAUGGGUAGGGGUCCUGAGAGGGAGAUCCCCCACACUGGUACUGAGACACGGACCAGACUCCUACGGGAGGCAGCAGUGAGGAAUAUUGGACAAUGGGCGCAAGCCUGAUCCAGCCAUGCCGCGUGCAGGAUGACGGUCCUAUGGAUUGUAAACUGCUUUUAUACGAGAAGAAACACUAGUUCGUGAACUAGCUUGACGGUAUCGUAAGAAUAAGGAUCGGCUAACUCCGUGCCAGCAGCCGCGGUAAUACGGAGGAUCCAAGCGUUAUCCGGAAUCAUUGGGUUUAAAGGGUCCGUAGGCGGUCAGAUAAGUCAGUGGUGAAAGCCCAUCGCUCAACGGUGGAACGGCCAUUGAUACUGUCUGACUUGAAUUAUUAGGAAGUAACUAGAAUAUG